ACUCCGACUGCUCUGAGGUCCAGCACCCCCGGCCACCCCAGGACUCCCGAAGAGGCUGCUAGGUCGGCCUGCCCAAAGAGCGGUGAGGAGCGUAUGUGAAGAGCCCCAGUCUUGAGGAGCAGCCUGUAUCUGGAGAGAGGGGAGCCCCGGACCAGAGGUGGGGGACAGGAAGCCAUCGCCCCACCCUGCCUCCUCCCCCACCACAGGUGGCCCUCGCCCCGGCCCACCCGCGCCUCCCAGGCCCAGCCUCACCUGCUGCCGAGAGAGGACAGUGAUCCCCCAAAAGCCGGAGGUGGAGGAGGAGGAGGAAGAGGAGGAAGGAGCUGGAGGAGCCGGGGACUCGCCCGCUGAAGAUGCUCUUGUCAAGACAAUGAAUGAGAAGCAGCCGUGCGCCCGCCUCCGGGGUGGCCGCGCCCCUUGGGGCGGAGCUCUUCCAGGCCCGCCCUGCGCUCCCGGGCUCCCGCUGCGGCCGC
rnacentral:lncRNA from 1 species